UGGCUUUUUGCACCAACACUAUUGUUGAAGGGAUUCUCCCUCGGGUCCUCUUCGGAGCCGUCGACCUCCUCGAUGGCAGCCCUGCUAUUGCAGCUCUUGCAUGCCAACAUCUUCUUCCUCCUCCUCCUUUCGGCCCCCGGUGCCUCCUCGGGACGAGCCUCUGGAGCGGGAACCUCGACUGGGGGGCUUCUUGAAGAGGCUCGAGGGACUGCGGCCUUGGCAUCAG
rnacentral:lncRNA from 1 species